UAAUUAAUUUUUAUUUUUGUGCCAGCAAUAGCGGUUAUACAAAUUAAUUAAAAAUUAUUAUAUUAAAUUUAUUUUAAUAUAAUUAUUUAUAAUUUUUUAAUUUUAAAAUUAUUGGUGAAAUAAAUAGUUUUUAUUUUAUUUUUUUUUUAAUUGAUUUUAGCUUAAAAUUAGAUUUGGAUUAGAUACCCAAUUUAUAUAGGUCAUAUAAUUUUUUUAAUGAAGAAUGUUUUUAAUUAAAAUUAUUAAAUUUGGCGGUAAAUUAAAAUUAGGUUAACUUGUUUUUAAAGAAUUUGCACUUUUAAUUAUAGCUGAUUUAUUUUUAUUUAUUGUUGUUAUAAAUUUAUAUUGAAUUAUAUUUGUUUUUGUUUUAAUUGUUAUAUUAUUAUGAUAGAUCUAUAUUUAAAUUAAAAUUGGCUAAAUAUUAGUUGUUUUUAUUUUUUUUAUAUGAUUAUUUAAUUUAUUAAUUUUUUUUAAUUAUAAUUUAAUAUUAAAUUUGUUUAUUAUUUAUAUUUUGAAUCUUUUUUUUUAUGCACAUAUUGCCCGUCAAUUCUUUUAAGAAUAAGUCGAAACAAAGUUAGUUGAUUGGAAGGUUAAUUUGU
rnacentral:rRNA from 1 species